rnacentral:rRNA from 1 species
UUAAGCGACUAAGCGUACACGGUGGAUGCCCUGGCAGUCAGAGGCGAUGAAGGACGUGCUAAUCUGCGAAAAGCGUCGGUAAGGUGAUAUGAACCGUUAUAACCGGCGAUGUCCGAAUGGGGAAACCCAGUGCAAUUCGUUGCACUAUCGUUAACUGAAUACAUAGGUUAACGAGGCGAACCGGGGGAACUGAAACAUCUAAGUACCCCGAGGAAAAGAAAUCAACCGAGAUUCCCCCAGUAGCGGCGAGCGAACGGGGAGCAGCCCAGAGUCUGAAUCAGCUUGUGUGUUAGUGGAACGGUCUGGAAAGUCCGACGGUACAGGGUGAUAGUCCCGUACACCAAAAUGCACAGGUUGUGAACUCGAAGAGUAGGGCGGGACACGUGGUAUCCUGUCUGAAUAUGGGGGGGCCAUCCUCCAAGGCUAAAUACUCCUGACUGACCGAUAGUGAACCAGUACCGUGAGGGAAAGGCGAAAAGAACCCCGGCGAGGGGAGUGAAAAAGAACCUGAAACCGUGUACGUACAAGCAGUGGGAGCACCUUCGGGUGUGACUGCGUACCUUUUGUAUAAUGGGUCAGCGACUUAUAUUCUGUAGCAAGGUUAACCGUAUAGGGGAGCCGCAGGGAAACCGAGUCUUAACUGGGCGUUAAGUUGCAGGGUAUAGACCCGAAACCCGGUGAUCUAGCCAUGGGCAGGUUGAAGGUUGGGUAACACUAACUGGAGGACCGAACCGACUAAUGUUGAAAAAUUAGCGGAUGACUUGUGGCUGGGGGUGAAAGGCCAAUCAAACCGGGAGAUAGCUGGUUCUCCCCGAAAGCUAUUUAGGUAGCGCCUCGUGAAUUCAUCUUCGGGGGUAGAGCACUGUUUCGGCUAGGGGGUCAUCCCGACUUACCAACCCGAUGCAAACUACGAAUACCGAAGAAUGUUAUCACGGGAGACACACGGCGGGUGCUAACGUCCGUCGUGAAGAGGGAAACAACCCAGACCGCCAGCUAAGGUCCCAAAGUCAUGGUUAAGUGGGAAACGAUGUGGGAAGGCACAGACAGCCAGGAUGUUGGCUUAGAAGCAGCCAUCAUUUAAAGAAAGCGUAAUAGCUCACUGGUCGAGUCGGCCUGCGCGGAAGAUGUAACGGGGCUAAACCAUGCACCGAAGCUGCGGCAGCGACACUAUGUGUUGUUGGGUAGGGGAGCGUUCUGUAAGCCUGCGAAGGUGACCUGUGAGGGUUGCUGGAGGUAUCAGAAGUGCGAAUGCUGACAUAAGUAACGAUAAAGCGGGUGAAAAGCCCGCUCGCCGGAAGACCAAGGGUUCCUGUCCAACGUUAAUCGGGGCAGGGUGAGUCGACCCCUAAGGCGAGGCCGAAAGGCGUAGUCGAUGGGAAACAGGUUAAUAUUCCUGUACUUGGUGUUACUGCGAAGGGGGGACGGAGAAGGCUAUGUUAGCCGGGCGACGGUUGUCCCGGUUUAAGCAUGUAGGCUGAUUGUCCAGGCAAAUCCGGAUAAUCAAGGCUGAGGUGUGAUGACGAGGCACUACGGUGCUGAAGUAACAAAUGCCCUGCUUCCAGGAAAAGCCUCUAAGCAUCAGGUAACAUUAAAUCGUACCCCAAACCGACACAGGUGGUCAGGUAGAGAAUACCAAGGCGCUUGAGAGAACUCGGGUGAAGGAACUAGGCAAAAUGGUGCCGUAACUUCGGGAGAAGGCACGCUGGUGUGUAGGUGAAGCCCCUGCGGGUGGAGCUGAGACCAGUCGAAGAUACCAGCUGGCUGCAACUGUUUAUUAAAAACACAGCACUGUGCAAACACGAAAGUGGACGUAUACGGUGUGACGCCUGCCCGGUGCCGGAAGGUUAAUUGAUGGGGUUAUCCGUAAGGAGAAGCUCUUGAUCGAAGCCCCGGUAAACGGCGGCCGUAACUAUAACGGUCCUAAGGUAGCGAAAUUCCUUGUCGGGUAAGUUCCGACCUGCACGAAUGGCGUAAUGAUGGCCAGGCUGUCUCCACCCGAGACUCAGUGAAAUUGAACUCGCUGUGAAGAUGCAGUGUACCCGCGGCAAGACGGAAAGACCCCGUGAACCUUUACUAUAGCUUGACACUGAACAUUGAGCCUUGAUGUGUAGGAUAGGUGGGAGGCUUUGAAGCGUGGACGCCAGUCUGCGUGGAGCCAACCUUGAAAUACCACCCUUUAAUGUUUGAUGUUCUAACGUUGGCCCCUUAUCGGGGUUGCGGACAGUGUCUGGUGGGUAGUUUGACUGGGGCGGUCUCCUCCCAAAGCGUAACGGAGGAGCACGAAGGUUAGCUAAUCCUGGUCGGACAUCAGGAGGUUAGUGCAAUGGCAUAAGCUAGCUUGACUGCGAGCGUGACGGCGCGAGCAGGUGCGAAAGCAGGUCAUAGUGAUCCGGUGGUUCUGAAUGGAAGGGCCAUCGCUCAACGGAUAAAAGGUACUCCGGGGAUAACAGGCUGAUACCGCCCAAGAGUUCAUAUCGACGGCGGUGUUUGGCACCUCGAUGUCGGCUCAUCACAUCCUGGGGCUGAAGUAGGUCCCAAGGGUAUGGCUGUUCGCCAUUUAAAGUGGUACGCGAGCUGGGUUUAGAACGUCGUGAGACAGUUCGGUCCCUAUCUGCCGUGGGCGCUGGAGAAUUGAGGGGGGCUGCUCCUAGUACGAGAGGACCGGAGUGGACGCAUCACUGGUGUUCGGGUUGUCAUGCCAAUGGCACUGCCCGGUAGCUAAAUGCGGAAGAGAUAAGUGCUGAAAGCAUCUAAGCACGAAACUUGCCCCGAGAUGAGUUCUCCCUGAGACUUUAAGUCUCCUGAAGGAACGUUAAAGACGAUGACGUUGAUAGGCCGGGUGUGUAAGCGCAGCGAUGCGUUGAGCUAACCGGUACUAAUGAACCGUGAGGCUUAACCUU